AGAUCUAAUUAACCUCUGAGGGUGGUGACAGGCUUGAGAAAUGGUAAAGUUAUUAACGAACAUCAUGAUUCUAUUAUAAAUGCAAAAGAUCAUAUUCAGGAGGAAGUUUUCAUCAAAAUCGAAAGGGGUACUAUUGGGGCUCCAGUGGCAUAAUGCAAAGCAGCGGUGCUUCCCUGCGCCUGACCCCCCAGAGCAGCCAAGCAAGGUGUGGGUAUACGGCAGGAGAGCCACCACUCAUCUGGGUGGGUGAUCCACCCACCCAAAGAACUACUACUGAUCGUCUGCAAGGAAGGUCUUCCCUGGAAAAUCAUGGAAAAACUGGAAAAAAACAACCGCUCAAAGAAAACAUCAAUUUUAAACUUAUUAAAAGCAGCAUUGUCCUUCCAGUGAUAGCUAAAUCUUUCUGUUGAGAUUUGCAUAUAUGGUUACAUGUAUUUAUCAGCUUUGAUCAUUACAUUUUAUGAUCAACAAUUCCAAGUUCUAACAAUUGCCUUAAAAUCUGCAGUAAUUUGUCCACCAAGUGUAUCAAUAAUUAGAUAGUAAAUUACAUGGCAUUUUAAAAAGAAAUGAGGCCACUAAUACAAGGCUUUUGGUUCAUUUUAUACAUAUUGUUAAUUAAUAAAACUAGUGCUGGAAGCAAUGUGAUUUUAAAGCUGUUUAAAUACCUCACAAAUUGUAUAAAUAUCAAAGGCUUUUUUAAUACAAGCAAUGA